rnacentral:sRNA from 1 species
AGUGGGUGGGUGCCCUGACUGCCUGACGGCCGCGCAGGGCCCUGCAGGACCGCUGGGGAGGAUGUUGUUAACGUAAAGAGCCAGGCUGAUGAGGAAAGCUCAUGAGUCCUUUGGGUAUAAGCGGGAGUUGGGGCGGCCGGAGGGCAGAUGACUCUGAGAAGGGCAAGCACUUUCAGCUUUUAAGCCCAAACAGAUGAGUUGCCUGCAGUUUUGGAGGCCUUCAGAGCAUUUCACUAGACCUCUGUCUGUGUCAGUCCAGUGUCUUUAGCCAAGCUUUGAUUAAAGAUGACUUCCUUGUUUGCUCAAGAAAUUCGCCUUUCUAAAAGACAUGAAGAAAUAGUAUCACAAAGAUUAAUGUUACUUCAACAAAUGGAGAAUAAAUUGGGUGAUCAACACACAGAAAAGGCAUCUCAACUCCAAACUGUUGAGACUGCUUUUAAAAGGAACCUUAGUCUUUUAAAGGUAAGUUUCCAUGUCUUGAAUAUAGAGAUUUAUCCCACCUUCUCAAAAAUCUUUUAGGUAAGUUUCAUAAAAUUGAUUUAUUUAACUUAUUGGUUCUCAGUAAUAAGUAGAAUUACUAAAGCAGCAUCUUUUUUAAAAGCCCAUGUCAGUUAGAUAAGUAGCAUAUGUAUCCUCAUUUUUUUAAAUUAAAAAAAUUGAACUUUGCUUAAGCUAAAUGUUUGCAAUCAACUAGAAAAUCAAUGACUACAGAAGGAAUUAUAAGGCCACCCUUUUGCAAGAAGUGAGAAACAGAAGAUGUACCUUUCCCUCUUUCAUCUUCUUUUAUUUGAAAGGAAAUCCUGAAAGGCCAUAAAGUACCUAUAAGAUAUUGAGAGCCAACUCACAACUAUCAAACAUCAUGAAAACAAGAACAAUUUGAUUUUGCCUGACUAGGCAAACACACAGAAUUCAUAUCUAUGAUAACAGA